rnacentral:rRNA from 1 species
UACGUAGGUGGCAAGCGUUGUCCGGAUUUAUUGGGGUUAAAGGGUGCGUAGGCGGCUUUGUAAGUCAGUGGUGAAAUAUGGCAGCUUAACUGUCAGGGUGCCAUUGAUACUGCAGAGCUUGAGUACAGAUGAGGUAGGCGGAAUUGACGGUGUAGCGGUGAAAUGCUUAGAUAUCGUCAAGAACACCUAUAGCGAAGGCAGGUUGCUACCAAUACAUUGACGCUGAUGGACGAAAGCGUGGGGAGCGAACAGG